CGCAGAUACCUGCCCAGACAAGGGGGAGAGGGAGAGGAACCAUCAGCAAAUACGUCUAUAGGCGUUUUGAAAUCUGUCUGGCAGCUACAAUAGUGUACAAGAAACCUUGAAUACCACUAAACGUGUGUGACACUACAGGCUGGUUCUAUCUGCGCAGGGACGUGUGGGUCAAGCUCAUCUGGGUGGCUGCCAUCGGGGACUGGCUCAACCUGGUCCUGAAGUGGGUUCUAUUUGGAGAGAGACACUAUUGGUGGGUCCAUGAUACCCACUUCUAUGGGACAGACCCAGCCCCUGCUUAAAACAAUUCCACAUCACUUGUGAAACUGGACCAGGUCGGCAAUGCCAUAGAUAGACCAAUGUGUGCCAGAGUAUAGCAAUGCGUGUCACUCAACAUACCUCAAGAAUAUAGUAGUAUUGGGAAGUGGAAGUAUUAUUGUCUUAGUAUGUAAUAAAUUAAUGAUCAUAGGGCCAUAACAACCUUUGCACUUUAGUAUUGAUUCCCAUUCAGCAGGGUAAAUACAUGGAGAAUAAUCUUAUCUGGAAAGGGAAUUCAGUUGGAAGUGUACAGUGAAUUCCAGUGGAGGCUGGUGACUUGAAAAAUUGAGGAGGAUGGGAGACCCACGUAGAUAUCAAAGUGUGUUUCAAAAAUCGUCAAGAGUAAUUAUUUUAACCUAAAGCAUUUAAUAAAGACAUUUAUAGUACAAUAUUAUGGAGAAUGGGAAAGAGACGGCUACUUACACAGUGUUGGGAAGGGAUCACAGCAGUGAUUGAAUGAGGGUAUGAGGCAUGAGUUGAGGUGUUCGGAGGCUUGACUUCAGUGCAGGACAGGAUUUGUCUGGGAAGACAAAAAACAAUAACACAACACACUACACAGUUAGACAAAAGAAGAAUGAGUUAUGUGUAAUAAUGUGAUUGUGUAUGUGAUUGACUCUACAUACAGUAAUGAGAGAAAAUGUAUGGAGGUACUCACAGUGCUU